CCUCUGGGUCCAACCUCCCACCCGUGUUUAUUUUACCUUGUUGCUUCGGCGGGCCCGCCUUAACUGGCCGCCGGGGGGCUUACGCCCCCGGGCCCGCGCCCGCCGAAGACACCCUCGAACUCUGUCUGAAGAUUGUAGUCUGAGUGAAAAUAUAAAUUAUUUAAAACUUUCAACAACGGAUCUCUUGGUUCCGGCAUCGAUGAAGAACGCAGCGAAAUGCGAUACGUAAUGUGAAUUGCAAAUUCAGUGAAUCAUCGAGUCUUUGAACGCACAUUGCGCCCCCUGGUAUUCCGGGGGGCAUGCCUGUCCGAGCGUCAUUUCUGCCCUCAAGCACGGCUUGUGUGUUGGGCCCCGUCCUCCGAUCCCGGGGGACGGGCCCGAAAGGCAGCGGCGGCACCGCGUCCGGUCCUCGAGCGUAUGGGGCUUUGUCACCCGCUCUGUAGGCCCGGCCGGCGCUUGCCGAUCAACCCAAAUUUUUAUCCAGGUUGACCUCGGAUCAGGUAGGGAUACCCG
rnacentral:rRNA from 1 species